rnacentral:lncRNA from 1 species
CCUGGAACUCAGGUACACACCACCCACCAGAGGCAGUGAGAAAAAGAUGAUGUGGGGCAAGUGGACCUGUGAAGAAAGGUUCUUUGGAGCAACUCCUGUUUGCAUUUUCAGGAAAUCAGCAGUCCAGUUGAUAGUUCGGCAGCAGCAGCUCAGUCCACUUGCAAACACUUCCUGGAUACACCAGAAGUCCAGUUUGGUGGUGUCGGGAUAGUAAACUCAAAUCAGCAGAAUCACGUGAGAAUUUGCAUGUUCGGGCUCUAAAGGAAGCCUGCCCCCAGUUGGCUUUGAUUGGGAAUAAAGUGGCCAAAGGUGACUGGCUUGGCAUGGUGAAACAAGCAGGAGUUUUAGAUUGCAUAGGUAAAAACUGAGGUAGAAGGAGGAGAAGAGAAUUGCCAUGGCUCGGGGGCAGAAGGAUCAGAUGUAAGAGCUGCAAGAGAGAAGUCAUCCAGCAAUGUAAGUGGAAAGGGAAAGCAGCCCUAUAGGUGGGUGGGUGGACUGCUCAGAAGGUCACAGGGCAACAAAGAUAAAAUAUAGAUUUAGAAAGUGUGAAGCAUGGAAUACUGGAGGGGAGUCUGUGAUAGCCCUGGGGAGGUUUAGAAGUGACCCAUUAAUAUAAAAUUAGCUGGUGUGUGUGUAUGUGUGUUUCAUUUUCGAAUCCAGAGCUCUUGGGCAGGUGCAACGCACGGGCAACCUGCCUGGAGCCAAAGCAGAUUAACAAUUCACUGCUACAGCUAUGCAUCAUCUACAGAAAUUAAACGCGGUUCCUGGAAAGAUGAUCUCAGGAAUUGAUAGGCGCUUAUCAGGAAAGGUCGCUGAGAACAAUGAGUGUCUUUCUACAAUUAAAAAGUAUUAGAGUAUUGUGACACAGGGGUGAUAUGUGAUAACUGGACAUAUACCCCCAAAUGUUUAAUCUGUCUCUCACCUUGCAUGACUGUGUAACCACCUUUGCUACCCUCUGGGUAUGUGCUCAUGCGUCUAGGGCAUGCCUAGCUAGUCAUUUUGGGCCAGCAGGAAGCAGGAAGUGGAACUAGUGAGCGAUUUUUGUAAUGAUGGGGUUUUUAUAAAGCUAAUGUAAUGAUUUAAUAAAUAACCAAUCAUGUCACUGCUUGAGUGAGCAGGAUUGUGAUUGGAUAAAGAUGGCUCAAGCUAUGACCUGAACCUUGUUGCUGGACCUGGCCAUUGGCAGAAAUCUUACCGGCCAUAGAGGCCAGAGCCCAUACUCACUGUGUCCAGAGACUGUAUGUUGGUAUUCCUUCUCAGAUGGGAAGGGGUCCUGUGACUUGGGAGCCAGGGAUCCACACAGUUCUCUGGUGGGACAGAAUCCUAAUGGAAGGGUAACCUGAAACACAGAAGCCCUGGAACUAAACAGUUCUGAUGUGGGGCAUUGUUCUGAUGGAAGAG